rnacentral:rRNA from 1 species
UACGAAGGGGGCUAGCGUUGCUCGGAAUCACUGGGCGUAAAGGGUGCGUAGGCGGGUCUUUAAGUCAGGGGUGAAAUCCUGGAGCUCAACUCCAGAACUGCCUUUGAUACUGAGGAUCUUGAGUUCGGGAGAGGUGAGUGGAAUUCCCAGUGUAGAGGUGAAAUUCGUAGAUAUUGGGAGAAACACCAGUGGCGAAGGCGGCUCACUGGCCCGUAACUGACGCUGAGGUGCGAAAGCGUGGGGAGCAAACAGG